UAAAAAAAUCUACUACGGUUAACCUACGGAAAUUAGCCAGACGCUCGCACCCGAAUCCUCGUGCCCGCGAUGCACUAGCCCACCGCCGCUCUCCUCUGCCCCAACCCCAACCCCGCCGCCGCCUCAAUCCCACCGCCGCCGGCCUCCUCCUCCUCUAGCGCCGCCGCUCCAGCCCCUCACCUUCUCAGCCUGGAUCCGCGCGACAAGGUGUGGGGCUAUGGGAGAGAAGGCUCCAUAUCGACAUCGCCGUCCGGAGCUACAUCAUCGACGGCCUCAAUGGGGGCUUUGGCGAGAGCUCCUGGUCUUUCGUCGCCGCCGCCGGGUCGGGACUGCCGAUCGGGACUCCGUCGGAUCCGCUGUCGCCGACCCACGUCCCAGUCCUCUCCUUCCUCUCACAGUUCAUGAGGCGACACCACAUGAGGAGGCUAGAACAGCAUGAGCAAUCUCAUCCGUGCCAGUCUGUGCGUCGCUUCUCACGCCAAGCCAAAGUUAAUGUCCAGAUGCAAGUUCAUGAAUGCUGUUCAUUUUACUUGAGAAGAACUAAUUCACAUGUAUCAAGUGAAGUAGUAUAAAUUUGCAUCGCCACACCAGCCAACAGGAGCGGCAGCAAUAGCAGGGUGUCGCAGAUUGACCUGGAGGUUGUCCCGAGGGGCGCGACACUGCCAGUGGAGAUGUACAGGUGAAGGAGGAGGACGUGGGGACUAAGGUGGUUGUAUGGUAGAUGGCGGAGGUGGACAAGAUGAACAUUUGGUUCGACAGGGUGGUGGUUGUCGUCAACGGCUGGGAGACGAAGCAACAAGAUUGAGGUUCACUUUGGAAUUUGUCUCAUUGAAGGGAUCUUGAAUUCUACACCAUGUUACGACUGAUAUCCCUGGAAUUUGUGAUCACAAUGUUAGUGCUACCAUUGUCAUGCAGCUCAACCUGGGACCGAGCACAGAUGCCACUGCGUAUUGCUAAAAUUUACAGGAAAUGCAGAAAAAUAGAGGUACAACAAUUGAGCAAUGCACAGUUCCCAAAAUGUGUGCCACAUAGUUCUAUGUUGAACAUAUAGAACUACUUAUGUUCCAUAUUCACCCUAAAACUUCUCUAAAGAUGUGCCAUUAACGACGGUGACGAGUUUGGAAUGGGGAGUGGAGAUAGCGGUGAAGAAGAUGAAGAAGAAGGGUGAUUUAUAACAUGAAACAAAAGUUGACAAUAUCAUUUAAUGUGCAUGAGGAUCUUAGAGAUAUACAUGUUGCACAUGAUUUGUUAUGCCCCGCUGCGGAUCUGGGCGCCCCCUCACCUUGACAAGAUUUUACCUACACUCAAUUGGAUAAUUAAGUACAGUUUGAUUAGUAUGACAAGUCAUGUCAGCAGGAUGAAUAUUUACAAGGUUUAUUAUCUCCCAGGAAGACAAGUAGGAAGUAUGUUUGCAAGUUUUCAUGACUAAAUUAUACAAUUAUAUAAACUGUGUGUUCUGCUUGAAGUUUGUCAGUUAAAAUCAUGUUGACUCGCCUACUGUUUAAAGGUUCUAUUUUGAUCAUAUAAUUAGGUUUACAUCUUGACUCGCUUGAUUUGAUAAAUUCCAUUCUUACCAAGGGUCAUCAUUUGUAUAUUUCCUCUUCGGAGGGUGAUCUCGUCGCCCACGGAGAAGCAAUCCAAGGAGAAGAGAGUAGGUUCUGCGCCCAACCUCAGCUUCAUAUCAAAGGAGGGGAAGUGGCUGCGAGCAUGCCAUCAGCGUUGGGUCGAUGGUGUUGUGCCUCGGCAGCUGGGAUCAUGCAAGGCAGAUGGGAAGCAGCAGUGCCGCCUCUCCCCCCGAGCUCCAGAUACAUGAUAGCAGCAUCGAGGAGGAGAAAAACUGCAUUCAGAGGUUACGGAAUGGCAAUGGGUGGGUUACCUCCCAGGAGCAGAUGACUGGCAUGGUUAGUGAUCACUAGGCCAUGAAUCUCAUGGAUCCCAUGAUACAGGUAUCUGGUCCAGAUCCGACGGAGACAAGCAAAAUCGUGCUGCUGCUUCUUCUUUCGAUUGAAAAUCCAGGUGAAAACUUUCAGGAACUCAGGACGACACGCAUUGAUUAUAUUUCAUUGUGAUGGCCGUUGCCGACACAGCUACUAUGGGUACAAGCAACUUCUAUUUCGCUCGUCACCGGAAACCACCGCCCAGAUCCAUCUCUUCUCAACCAUGCCGACGUGGUGGUCAGGGGCGCUUACAACUUGUGAGGGCCUGCAUUCUCGCUGUUGAUCCGUGAUGGCAUGGCCUCCCCGCGCCCUAGCCGCGUUCUAACUGAUGGUUUGGGUCUGCCAGCGGAGGGAGAGGGGACGACCUCUGUCGCUCCUUCUCUCUAGCCUCUUCAUCUUGAUGAAGCCGUAGGAGUAGAGGGGCACGCGCGUGAUGGAUCUGCUCCAAGCACCUCAAGCCACGCAUCUUCAAGGUGAUCACUUCAUCCACAUUCAAUCUCAGUUCCCGCGUUUACUCGAGGAGAGUUCAAAAGCAGCAAGAGCAGUUGUUCUAUUGCUGGUCGGAGGGAGAGCUUGGCAAGGGAGAUAGAGGGAGCUCUACAACCACGAUCUUGGCAUACAACCCGAUGGCAUCAUGCCCACACUAUAUAUUAUAUUAUUCAGCAAGUACGUUCGCAAAUUUUUUUGGUCUCAGCAGGUUGGUGUUCAUGUACAGGUUGCCAUAUGAGAAUAUACUGUGUAUUCGUCAAAUCUCAGAACAAAUGGCCCAUUCCGAUCAUAACUAUUCCAAAAGCAUUGAUAGGCUUUUAAAAAAAUCAAGAUAUCUGAAUAUUGAUCUCAGCAGUGUCCAAAAUCCAAAUGGUUAUGUUUGUUCAGAUUUUCCUCAUUUUUAUGUUCUUUGAAAUAAAGUAGUGCUUGAGGUUAAUAAUAAAUGAUUGUUGGUAACUUAACUAGCUCCUGAGAAUAAUUUGUGAUAUAGCUUGCUCCUAUAUGUUUCAUGACAACGUUGCUUGUGGAGAGUAAUAAGGAUUUAUCUAGCUCAUGUAUGUCUGAGCCUGAGGCGGAGAGGACAACGGUUGUGGCUCCAUUGAUGAUAGUGGUUGCGACGCAGAGCCGUAUGAAUGGACAGCAGGCAAGCCAAGCACUCCCUGGAAUCGCCGUGAUUCCGGAAUGGGUGGCGGGUCCCUGCCCCUACCACCCAUGAAGCUGACAACGAUCACGUGGCCUCGUGCGGGGGCUGCGGAGGAGAGGGAGGCAGGCAGGGGGAGACUUGUAAGCGAGAACCCGCACGGAGGAGGAAGGAGACGCCUCAGGUGGAGAUGAUGACGGUGGCCGUGCCUCCAUCGCUGGCGGCGGUCAUGACGUGCAGCUGCAGGACUAGACAUCAGACAGGCGGAGUCGUUUCUGGGAGUUGCUUGCUUUGGUGGUGCUCUUGGGUUUACGAUUUCAAUAUAAUCCUAUGGCGGAGUGGAAGGUUAAUGUUAUUUCUCUGAUAUCACAAUGUAUCUUCUUGGCUCAAGUAUUGAGAAAGUAGCAUUGUCGCAGAUGUAUUUACUUAGUUUGAUAAGAUGGUGAAAAUAUCUGUAAUUCAGACAUGACAGAGAGUCAAAUUUAAAAGUAGCUUUUAUAGUCAUAGCUAGCUUACUUUGGUUUACUUGGUCCAUGUAGAGCUGGAAUCUCGGAGCUACACUUUCAACCGGCUUGCUUUGAAAAUCAAGUAAAAUUAAAAGAAUAGAGGUUUCAAUUGUAGCAAUAGUAUAGUAGUGCUACAGAUCUGUGGAGCGGGCAAGAAUUAUUGGUCAACCUUAUAGCUUCUUAUAGCUUCUAUUUGUCAUCUAGAUGUUGUACAUCAGGUACAGAUCUGUUUAAGAAGGAUUGUUGUACAUCAGGAAUUAAAGUUUACGGAAUGCGAGAAAAAUAAAUGCAUAACUGGAUCUGUGAUUCGGUGAUUUUUUGAAUGUGAAGCUUUUGGAUUUGCAUAUAAUGCUGACACCACAUGGACUCUGAAGGAAGUUGUGCUAACUGCUAAGCUUUCCCUGCUUUUCCAGCUUGUGUGUUUCAUUGAUGGAGGAGGUAUAAAUCUGUUCCUUAAAGCGAGCAAAUCAAAACAAAAACGCAGGAGGUAUCCGACAACACUGACGACCGCUACGCCAUUCCACUUAGACCUGAGGGCAACAUCAAAGGAUGCCACCGGCAGCAGAGAUCAACAAGUUCUUCACCGUCGGGGAGAAGGUGGAGGUUGAAUGUUUCACCGUCAAGUGCAGACUUAUCGUUCAGCUACAGUCACUUGAUCAUCGUCACAGACACCGCCACACUAAGAAUUGUGCAGCUGCUCUACUUUCAGGUACAAAAUUGGACAUCAUGUGAGGUGUUAUGCUCAACCCCAGCCAGUUCAAAGGCAACACUGGUGGUGGUCCUCUGAGUAUGCAAAUGACAUAAGAGUGGGCACUGCAAUAAUACAUGCUAAUAGGUGCAGUUUCAUCUCGAGCAGAGGAGCACUGCAAUAGUACAUGCUACUCUCAGCGACUACUAACCUGAAGUUGCACUCAGGCUCUCGCAUAUACUAAAGAGCAGUGUCAUCAAUGGAACAAAUAAAGUCUUGAUAACUAGAAGGCGAUUCCGAUUCCAGUAUGGUAAAUAUUCGAUGGGUGACAAAGGGUCCCGAGGGAGCUCGUUUGUGUUGACAACACUCAGCAUAUUCUGCAAAUAUCCUCUGAGUUCACCAUCCAUGAGCUGCAAGUCAUGUUUUCUGGUGCUACAAGUAUAAAAAGGUUCAUAUUUGUUUUAUUAACCUUUUGUGGUGUUGUUCCAAUACCUUUUGGAGUUUUGGCCUAAAAGGGCUCUCUGAAACACUGAGACAAACAAAGCUAAAAUUUGGAGUAUGAUUAAGCAGUCCAGUCAGCGUUACUAAUCCCCACUUGAGCUUGACUGUAUUUCCUGGCUUAAUGUUUGAGAUUCUAUGUAUAGCAAAAAUAUGUGCAGAAUUUCAUUUAAGUUUGAAAGCCAAUCGAUUCCAUGCUUUGAGCUGGAAAGUGGUCCCUAUUCUGAAUUGGUAUUUGGAUCCCAAACAUAACUCCCUAUGAACAUAUAAGGAAAUUUUAGUUGUGAAACGACACUUGUUGUACAUGCCAUAUUGCUAUAUGAGGGUGCUGCUAUGUACAUUUAUAGAUGCUUGCAUUUGACUUC